CUCAGCUCCUGCUGCAGCAGCAUUUCUGCUGCCCUCUGCGUAAAACGAGAGCUGCCAGGAAUGUUAGCACCAAAGAAACAGAAUUGCUGAAACACUGAUCAUUCAGAGCAAGGCUUCUCAUCCCAACACUUCCCAGUUUUAAGAUGCAGCUGGGCACUGGACUCUGGAGAUGAAAAGAGAGAAGGAAGGGAGAAACUUCAAAGAUAUCUCAGCAUCGCUUAGCUGUGAAGUGGAGCAGAAGGAAGCAUCCAUGAAAGAGAGCUGGAGAGUGGGUCCUGGAUGAGGACAUGACCUUCAGGAUGCCCCUUCCAUCUCUCACCAAAGCAGCUGAGGAGCUCCUGUUACAGAACAGCCUGUCAAGUCAAACGUGUAUACAAUGUUGUCCAGUUUUCUGCCUGGGAAAGAGAUCUCCAAGUUCUCGGUUCAGAAUGUUAAAAUUUUCUUUGUUGCUUUUUACUCUUUCAAAAAUAUCACUCAGAAUCUGUAGUUGUGAUAAUAGUAAAUGGUGUAGGGGGUUCACGUACAAUCCUGUAUUGGAUAUAUAUAGAUGGCAUCUUCCUCAGAAAAGCAGGGGCACCUAAACCCACUUGAAGCCCCUUGCUUCUUUUACUAUCUAUAAGAGAUAUCACCAUGCUACUGCAAGACGCUCCUUUCUAAGCUUCAUGUUUAAUAUAAUGGACACUUGACCUUCUCCCCGAGACAGAACAGUCACAAUAAUUAGGUGAUUUUUCUGAGUGGGAAAUAAAUGGUGCUACUUACAGAUUGCACUUGGAGCUGCAGGUCAUUUUUCUCCUUCAUUAGAGAUACCAUUUUCUCCUCAAGCUCCUUCCGCUUUGCCUCAGACUUUGCAAGAUCUUCCUUGGUUUUCUCAAAUUCUUCCUUCAUGUUGGCCAUCUCCUUCUCAGACUCUGCACUCUUCAGCAAGGGCUUGAUCUUGAAGAACAGCUUCAUCCAUGGCCAGUGUUUGACAUUCAUGAAUGCACGAAUGUUGUACUGGAUGCAGAAGAUGGAUUCCCUGAGGCAUAAUUAAAAAGUGCAAUGAAUAUUCUCAGUCUGUUGAGUGUCUUCACUUCCCCCCAAGCAGAAUGACUCUGUAACUGAAGAAGAGGAAGGUGUACCUCCGCUCCACCAUUCUCUGGUACUCCACCCUCAUCAGGUAACCCCUACACAUGGCUUGGGUGCGGGUGAUGAGCUGUGCCAGCUUCUCAUCCCUCAUCUCCUCCAGGAUCCCAAUCAGCCCAGCUUUGAAGAACACCUUGAGAGAGGCAAUGUUGCAGAACAUCACUGUCAGGUAGAGAGAGCAAAGCCCAGGCAGGCAGUGAAUGGGGGGGGAUUUGUACCUUGGUGUGUCCAAAUUUGUACUGGGUGUGGUCCACAUCGAUUGACCCAAGGAGCUUCUCAGAAGCCUUCUUGCUAUCGAUGAACUGUCCCUCAGGGAUGGCACUGGCAUUAAGCACCUUGUAUCUGUGGGAUUGGAGGAAAUAGGAAGAAGACAAUGUCCAGUCAUAAGAAUGUUCUGUUUACUGAAAGCAAGAACAGUGUUUGCAGCAGAAUCCGGCUGACAAAGUUGGAAUUUCAUCCCUCGAUACUCUAUUUCAUCCCUUUAUACAGAGAUCCUGGCAAAGCUCAUUUGUGUGAUGGAGAGUAGUUGGUGAGGACACCUGACUUAUCUCUUCAUUUCAUAGCUCUCACCUCUGUUUGAAGUCAGCAUAGAGGACUCUGCUGGGGAACCCUUUCCUGCAAAUCCUGAUCCCUUCCAGCACGCCGUUACAGCGCAGCUGGUGCAGCACCAGCUCAUGCUCCAUGGCACCUGGCAAUGCAGAGCACAGAUGAGUGGACCAGAUGGCAGAGGGGAAUGGAUGUAUCAGAGCAAGGAUCUUUCUGCUUGGGGCUCUUACCUGGCGUUUUAGUCUCAUUGGGGAUGAUACAGCGCACAAAAUGGGGAUGAGUGCUCCUCAGAUUGGUCAUCAGCUUGUUGAGAUUCUCCUGUGGGAUCAUGAUUUAGCAUGCAUUUAUAAGAAACGUGGGAAAAAUAGCCCCUUGCAAUCUUUGAAUUUAACAUGAAAGACCCAUCAAUGGAGACACACUGGGCUGAAAAUUGUUAGCUGAGAAUGUCUCAAUCAAUUGCUCAAUUCUCUCUGAUUCCCAGCACUAAACCUCACCUUGAAGGACAAGAAAAAGCUUACCAUCAACCUAAUGAAGAAUAGAAAGGGGGCACGUUUUAUGUUUAUAUAAAGUUGAAGUUUAGACUUUAUAUAAUGGCACUUUACAAUGCCAUUUUUCAUUACAUAAGUCUUUUUUUUCCGGUUGGCGGAGAAGUUAUACUUUGAAUAUCUGACGGUUGGUUGAGAAGAGAAGUUAUACUUGGACUAUAUGUUGGUUGGUUGCUUGGUUGGUUGGUUGGUUGGUUGACUGAUUGUUGGGGAUUUUUUUUGCUUUUUUUUUCUGUGUCUGAGCCAGCUAAAAGUACAGAAUAAUUCUCUGCAUAUAUGAAAAGAAAAUGUGUUUACGUACCCGGAAAAGAGCUGAGACCGUCUGAAAAGAAGAACCCUUCUUCUUGCCUCCCUUCUUGCCACCACCACCACCACUAGCCUCUGAUAAAGCAAAGAUAAUGGAUCAUCUUUUGCUUUGGGGACCAACCACUGUGCAUCAAAGAGAUGAAUUUCAGAAAACUGACCUGCCUCUCCUCCAUGUGAGGCAAAGAGCAAAGCCAGGGUCUUCACAGAUGAUUUCUGGUACAGCCCAAUGACAGUUUCAUUCAGAGGGUCCUUGUUCUUCUCCAGCCACCCAGUGAUAUUGUAGUCCACUGUGCCAGCAUAGUGCACCAGGGAGAAGUGGGCCUCAACCUUGCCUUUGGCAGGCUUGGGCUUCUGGAAGUUGUUGGACUUGCCCAGGUGCUGGUCAUAGAGCUUGUUCUUGAAAGAGGUGUCAGUUGCCUUGGGGAACAUGCACUCCUCUUCCAGGAUGGAGAAGAUGCCCAUGGGCUGGGAGAAAUCACAAGAAAGGAGGGAGGACAAGGUGAAAAGGCAGAAAGACUCAGAGAUUAAAUAACUUCCUGAGUGAGACAAUAUAAUUGCUCUCAAGGAUUAUUCUGCUCAGCAAAUUGUAAAAUAAUACAAACUGAUGUAUCUGCAGUAUCAUAUUUACCAUUUCAAACUGCUUUUAGAAAUAUAUAUAAAAUGAAUGCAUUUCUGAAAAUAUCUGACAUUGUGAAAUACAGAAAUACCUUCUCAAUGAGCUCAAUGCAGGCAGCCAGGUCCAUCCCAAAAUCAAUGAAUGUCCAUUCAAUUCCCUCCUUCUUGUACUCCUCCUGCUCCAGCACGAACAUGUGGUGGUUGAAGAACUGUUGCAGUUUCUCAUUGGUGAAGUUGAUGCACAGCUGCUCCAGGCUGUUGAACUGCUCAGUGGAAAAUAACCACAACAACCAGCUCUCAUCAAUAUACCCCGUUCUUCAUCAUUCUCCUCCACCCUUUAUAAAUCUCUCCAGUUAGAACACAACUGUAUUGUCAGGACCACACCAUAACAGAACCUUUAAGCAGCUCCAGAAAGAAAUACCUACAUAAUGAAAAUAAGGGAUUUUUUCCAGAGGAGUUUUUUAAAUGAAUCUUCUAAAAUCAAUAAAAAUAUUUCAGGAUUUUGUUAUUCUGCAAACAAGAUGAGUGCAUGCUCUUGUCUCCAAAUUGAAAACCCUUAAUAUUUCUGAUUAGAAACAUAACUAUUCAUUUUCUUACUUCUUUAAACAUUUUAAACAUCUUUAACUCGCUAUAUAUUUCCUAAUGCAUCUCCUAGCUCUGCACCAGAAGCUAUUUUAUAAAUUUAUUGGAAAUAUUUUGGGUUAUUUAAUCUGUAAGCUCAAACAGUUGUAAUAUUACAACAUAUAAAAUUCUAUUUGCUGCUUCUGCACAAACAACAUGACUCUGUGCUUGUACUGAUGGAGCUUUUGAAAAUUUUGUUUUCUGCUAGAAAAGAAAAUUACUGGCUUUUUUUCUGCAGAAAAUCACAAAUGACUAGCAUGUUAAACCUGCAGAGGAAUAUUACUUGCAAGUCCUCUGAUAUAAUAAUCCUUCGCUUCAAGAGCAGCCCUCAAACCUGACUUCCUUACAUCAAAGAUCUCAAAGCCUGCAAUGUCCAGGACACCAAUGAAGUACUGCCUGGGCUGCUUCGUGUCCAGCUGCUCGUUGAUGCGAACAACCAUCCACAGGAACAUCUUCUCAUAGACAGCCUUUGCCAGGGCACCCACUGAAUUGUUCACCUAGAGCAGAGGAGAAUGGAGCAGAAGGAAAAUAGUACCCAAAGGGAGAGGGUAAAUCAAGUGAGAGGUUCCCAGUCACCAAGUGGUUGUUGUUACCUGCUGCACAUUUUGGCCCUUGGUCACAUAUUCAUUCCCCACCUUGACGCGGGGAUAGCAGAGGGCCUUGAGCAGGUCUGCUGAGUUCAGACCCAUCAGGUAGGCAGCCUUGUCAGCAACUGAACACAAAGAGACAGGGAAGAAUUAACAGAGGAGAAGUGAUAAUUGAAAGUGGACAUCUUCUAAGAUACAUCGGUUGGUCUCAGCACUGAAAUUUCAUGAUAUCUUGAAGGGAAAUUUAGAAACAUGAACAGUCUGGAAGCUGAGAUUGAUGUAUUUAUGAAAGCAAAUGGAAGGGAAAUACCUGAUUGCAAAGUACCUGCUAUGUAACCAUUUCUGUUAUUAGGAGUUUUAUAAGACUUUAUUACCUUCAGUGCCAUCAGGCUCUGCCUGCUCCUCUCGUUGUUUCUGCUUGAACUUCAGGUUCCCGUAGUGCAUGACAGCCCCUGUCAGCUUGUAGAUGGCUAGUCUCUCAUCAGCAGUGAAACCCAGGAUUUCAAUGGCACUCUGAAAACAGAAUCAGUCAAAUAAACCUCUGGGCCAUUACAAGGAAGUUUCACCACACCAAUAUGCUCUGUGACACUUACAUCUGUGGCCAUCAGCUCCUCCUGGUCGUUAAUGCUGGGAACUGUGAUCUCACCUUGACUCACAAAUUGGUAGUCAUAUGGGUUGGUGGUGAUGAGGAGCAUGUCUGUAAAGAGGAAUAGGAUGUAUCUGGGUGUGAGAAUAAAGGUAAAUAUUAAAGACCUUACGAUUUUAUCAGACAAUUCAUAAUACUUCGUACCGAUUAGCUCUGGCUUCUUGUUGGACAUGAUCUGAUAAAAGAUGUGGUAGCUCCUUUCCGCCUUGAGCUGGAAAGUGACUCUGGACUUCUCCAGCAGAUCUGGCAAGGAAGUUGGGACAGAGUCAAGCCUGAGAAAGAACACUGAGGUGGAAAGAAGGAAGGAAUGGGAUCAGGUCUGGUGGUCUCUUACAAGUUUCAAUGUCAGCAGAAGCCAGCUUGCCUGUGGCCCCAAAGUGGAUUCGAAUGAAUUUGCCCUUUUAGAGGGGAAAGAAAAAAAGACUUUUUGAAAUUUCACCAUGAUUGUAAGCAUGCAACCUUAUAUUUUUCACAGAGGACAGGUUUCAAACUUAGCAGUUGUUUCACUUUUACUUUUUCUUAACAAAGCAAAACAGGACAAAAAGAAAUUCAGGAAAUUCUUUAUACUGCCAAUACUAGAUAGAUCUGAGCUUUUUUAUUCACUACUAUUUAAUGGAUAACCAUGAAUGCACAUGAAUGAGAAAACCACUAAAAGAGUGUUUUAUUGGGUCAUUUAUGUUGUAAUUCAAACAUAUGGAUAUACUGAAAGCCAUUUUCUAAUCAGAAAGCAUUCUGUGAAGGCAGAUUUUGGUAGUAUAAAAGUUAAAUGAGGAUUUUUACUCUUCUGGAAAACAGAAGUCAUCUGUUACUGUCUGAGUUGUAGAGAUAGAGGCAACACACCCAAAACAAGGAGCUUUAGGCUGAGACUGAGGAUUGGUAUUGUGAUUUUUCAAGGAAACUCACAGUUAAUGUAAUAGAACUUAUGAAUGGCUUUUUGCAUUAAAAAUUACAUCAAGGUCUGAACUGUCAGAUUAAUAUACCUGCCCAGUUUUGUACCUAAAACCCAGAGAGUAAUUUUUUUGCUGGUCUCAUGAAUGCCAGCAACAUUUCUAUCGAGUAGUUUCUAUCCUGUAUGCCCCAUUAUUCAUUUCUUCUAUAUUACAUCAAUUUCCGCAAAAUUGUGUCUUCAGUCUGUAUGACAGACUCUAAGAAUAUGUAUAUCUAUAUUUAUAGAUAUGCAAUUAUAUAGAUAUACAAACAUAUUUAAAUCAUCCCCAUUUGUAUACUGCAUUGCACUUCUAAGGAUGUAUUUUUAAUUAGAUAGUCUAUUUUAAUUGGCAAAAAUACGCAGAAAACAGUCAUUUAAUAAAUACACUCAUCUGACUUUGAUACUUCAGACGUGACAGUAUGUUCUGACGUACUUGUUCCCAUAUAAAUGACAACUUCUCUAAUGAAAAACUCACAAAGCGUGAGGAGUUGUCGUUCCUCACGGUCUUGGCGUUUCCAAAGGCCUCCAGCAGUGGGUUGGCGCUGAUGAUUUGAUCCUCAAGCGUUCCCUGCAGGGACAUCAUUAUUUAGUGACUGUGUUUGGUUGACAGGGCAAUGGCAGGCCAAGCAUUCUGUCUGUCCAUUCUGACUCACCUGCAUUUUGCCUGAUGACUUCUCCUCCUUCUUCUUGUCCCCACUGGCUGCAAUUGUUGCAAAGUACUGGAUGACACGCUUGGUGUUCACAGUCUUCCCGGCCCCGGAUUCUCCACUGCCAAAGCCAAGAGAGAAGCAGAGGGUGCGUGGUCAGGCAGGAGGGGCCCUGGCACCGGGCAGCCCCACAGGGACCCGCACAGGGGGUGUACGUACGUGAUCAGGAUGGACUGGUUCUCCCGAUCUGUGAACAAGGCAGAAACACGGUACUUAAAACUCAGUGAACAACAGAGAAAAAAUGAAAUAUAUUCUUGACAGUGACUUUGCCCGAUUCCCUGCUCGUGAUUGUCCCUUUCACAAAGGAUUCCUUUGCAUGUACCACGAAGACAGAUGACUUGGCAUCAAAAGGGCUGGAUUCCAUUGAUGCUGGAAACAAAACACAGCCCAGCUGAACAAGACAGGACAGAAUGGAGGAUGUGUAAGGGAAUGUCUGUUCUGCACAGAAAUGCAGCUUGUGCAAAGCACUGGAGUGCUGAUAUUCUCCAUGGAGGAAAAGGAAUUCAGGCAUCCUGAAGACAGGCUCUUGAUGAGAAGAUCACAGAAUGACAGAACCUGGUCCUCUCCAUGAGCAGGACCACCUGAACCUAGUUGCCAUCUAGAGCCACUCCAGCACCUGCCUCACUUUCUGCCACUACUUGUGAUCCAACUGCUUCUCAGCCAUGUUCUGUGAUUAUUGAAAAGAGUCUGAAAGCAAGAGGCCACAAUUUAAAGCAGACUGAAUUGUGGAAAUGUCUCAAGAAUGUUUUUCUGUGACCCUGUGGAACUCCCCAUGGCACAUUUGAGUCCUCGUGGUUGUCUGUAUCAUGGGGAUGUGUUGGGGGAUAUUUUAGGUGUGUGUUUCUUGAGGUUCAGCUGGAGUGGAGCUGCAGGUUGAGCUCUGGAGGAGCAGGAGCUUGAGCCCACAGCAAGAGGCUGUGAACUUCAGACCCUCUGCACAACCAAGGGCCAGGGGUCUUGUCAGGUGAGGGACACUUAGAGACAUGGCAGGAGGGGACGACUCCAGAUUUUUCCACCCUUAGACUGUGAGGGCAUAAAAACCCAGGAGUUCCUUUGUUUGGGGUCCCUCCUUGGAGGCACUAGCUCAGGAUAGUUAUUGCAGCAUGAUUACAUCUGAGACUCAACAAUGGGAAACUUGGUGUGACUGCAAGAGUGUGAGGGUGCAGUUGUGAAGGGUCUUGGUCCCAGCUCAGGUGGUGGGACAGUGGCUAUGAGAGUGGCUCCUGGAUGAUUGGACAGGGGAUUUCCUUUAAUAAAUGAACAUAAGAAUAUCUGUA